CAGAAGAGAGUCGACAUGUAACGCCGGGUAGGAGCCCGGAAACUUCUCCGGAAUUCAAAGAAGGGAAACAACUGAAAAAAGCUCAGGAAGUCUCUGAAACUGACCAAAUUCACUAGGUCCCUCCCUCCCAAAGCAAACCAUAAAACCUGAGCGUUCUCAGACAGAAAAAUGCUAUUCUACAAAGAGGUCUCUCUGAUGAACUACGCUGCAGACAAGGCUUAACCAAGCUCAGCUGAAGACUCUCAGAGGCGCAAUGCUGCGGACUCGGAGAGCAGACCAGCUGCCUGCGAGAAGCAGAAACCAGCCAGAGCUGCCUGGAAGAGGUUUGGACCAACUGAGUUACCAGGAAGGACACCCUCCAACCUGUUGAGCUGCCUGCACGCUGUGCAGUGCACUCCAGGUUCCCAGGUGGUGUAAACUUCAGGUGGUGGGACACGACAACAAGAAGCAAGUCCCUGGAGGGGUGACUUGUGAAGGAUGUACAUGGUCCCCAGCCUCUCUCUGUUCCCUCUCCAUCAUGAGGUUCGUGGCUCCUGUGUCAUGGUCCCAUAGCUGAGGCGUCCCACUCCACCACAGCCCUAAAAGCGUACAUAGUCAAGCAACUAUGAACUAAAAUAUCUGAACCCAUAAGCUAAAAAGACAAUGCCCACUUUUAAGUCCUGUAUGUCAGGCAUUCUGUUAAAAGACAACUAAUGCUCAGUUUCCCGUGUAAAUACACUGGGGCCCACGCUCUGGAAACACGGUGAGAAACAGACUGGGUAUGCCACGAUUUGUACCUAUAUAUGAAUUUUUAUCAAAUCCCCCCUUUAUUCAAUGUGUCAUCCAUCUCAACACCCUGCUGGAUGUCCCUUAAUUCAAAGACUCCUUCCCCUCCCUCCCGCAGCUGAGGAUGGAGUCGUGCAUGCGAAAGUUGCUCUAACCACUGAUCUGUAAUUCGGUCCUGUUUGCUGUAAUCUUAAUGUUUUCAGGAGUAGAGAUAAAUGCAUAUGUUCUAUCCUCUACCUUCUUUCACAAGUCUGCCAUCAAUUCAGGUGAAACAUUUCCAAUAGAACAUGAACUUCUAUUUCUCCCAAAUAAUAACAAUAAUAUUAACAACAACAACUUGGACUAUUUUAACUUAGAAUUUAACCAACUUUUUUUCUGUUCACCUUAGAAAUUAUACAUUGUUGUGUGCUGAGUACAGUCAAUAUUCAGUUAGAUUUGUCAAUGUGUCUCUGUUUACUAUUUCAUCUUGCAUCUCAAAUCACUUCUAACAUGGGUUUCCUGUGUUAGGGAUUAUGUCUUUCACUAAGUCAUGCAUUAAAGAUUUCUUUAAAGUAAA